UACAGAGGGGGCAAGCGUUGUUCGGAAUUACUGGGCGUAAAGGGCGCGUAGGCGGCCUUCUAAGUCGAACGUGAAAUCCCCGGGCUCAACCCGGGAACUGCGUCCGAUACUGGAAGGCUUGAAUCCGGGAGAGGGAUGCGGAAUUCCAGGUGUAGCGGUGAAAUGCGCAGAUAUCAGGAAGAACACCAAUGGCGAAAGCAGCUUUCUGGGACGGUACUGACGCCGAGACGCGAAAGCGUGGGGAGCGAACAGG
rnacentral:rRNA from 1 species